ACUCCGGCUAAUCAACUCAACAAGCAAAAUCCCAAAUCAGGCCCCGAACCGAAUCCACGAACAAGUCCCAGCCGCCCGUUCCGCUCGCUCUCGCCUUCGCCACAUCCGUUCUUCUCCUGUUCUACCGUUCGCUGCCUCUCCUCGUCGGCUCCCGGUCUCUUCCAAACCCUACCAUCUCUGCAGCGGUCCCUUCUCCGCUCCUCGAGUUGGUCGCGGUGGAGUCGUCCGCGUCCCUCGAUUGGGACUGCGGAUCCAGCUAGCGACCUCCGUAACCGAGAUCCUCUGUGUCCUCGCGUCUUGGAUGGUUCAUGCUGGGGGUUCGGUUGGCGUCCCGUGGCGGAAUCCAUGUCUAGCUCCGCAUAUGACGUGAAUCGCGCUGCGCCUUAUCGGAUUGGGUCCGGCGCGUGUGAUGUCGGCGCCGCAGGAUUCUCUCGGGUUGGUUCUUCCGCAGGUUUGUUUCGGAGCUCGGUUCGUCUGCCCUUGGAGGAUAGGGUAUGCUGGCCGAGGCCGAUUUCGGCCUAGGUGGAGUAAUCGGCGGACCAAAAGAUUGUAUGUUGGGGUCGUUUCGGAUCGAACAAGGAGGUGGAGAUGCGGCGCGUCCAUACCCUCGGCCGGAAACAACAACCCUAGCUUGAGCUCCGCUAAGAGAACCGCCGAAGCUCAGAAAAUAUUGGUUUCAGGGCGUCUGGCAGAGGAGCUGCCAAAUGAGGAUUCGGAAUCCCAGACGAUGCGGUUGUCGUCCAGCUUCACAAACUACCAAGAAGACCCUUUGGUGGACAAGUUAAGGACGCAACUGGGGGUGAUUCACCCGAUCCCUUCUCCGCCGAUCAAUAGGAACAUCGUUGGCUUCUUCGUGUUCUUUUUCUUUGUUGGGGUUGCUUUCGACAAGGUUUGGACCACGAGGAAGAGGAACAAGUCAGAUCGCAAUGUUAAGAAUGACACAUGGCCUCAGGUGCCGAGUAGCUUCUCUAUAUUCUUUGAGAAGGAUCUUCAGAGGAAAGAGUCGGUGGAAUGGGUGAACAUGGUUUUGGGUAAGUUAUGGAAAGUGUAUAGGUCUGGGAUUGAGAACUGGAUUAUUGGAUUGCUACAGCCAGUAAUAGAUAACCUUAAGAAACCUAGUUAUGUGCAAAGAGUUGAAAUUAAGCAGUUCUCACUAGGUGAUGAACCACUAUCAGUCAGGAACGUCGAGAGGAGAACCUCCCGCUGUGUUAACGACUUGCAGUAUCAGAUUGGACUUCGUUAUACAGGUGGCGCAAGGAUGUUGUUAUCGUUGUCUUUGAAGUUUGGGAUUGUCCCAAUUGUUGUACCUGUUGGCAUUCGUGAUUUUGAUAUUGAUGGAGAGCUUUGGGUUAAGUUACGGUUAAUACCAACUGAACCUUGGAUAGGAGCCGUAUCAUGGGCUUUUGUUUCCCUACCAAAGAUUAAGUUUGAGCUCGCCCCAUUUCGUUUAUUUAAUCUUAUGGCAAUUCCUGUUCUUUCGUUGUUCCUUACAAAACUUCUAACUGAAGAUCUGCCUCGUCUCUUUGUGCGUCCAAAAAAGAUUGUUCUUGAUUUCCAGAAGGGGAAAGCACUUGGUCCUGUUCCAGAUUAUUUUAAAACUGAAGACAUUCAGGAAGGAAAUAAAGAUUUUGUUGGGGAGUUAUCGGUGACCUUAGUCGAUGCCCGUAAACUUACUUAUGUUAUAUUUGGAAAGACAGAUCCAUAUGUUGUUUUAAGCCUUGGUGAUCAAGCAAUUCGAAGUAAGAAAAAUAGCCAGACAACAGUUAUUGGUCCUCCUGGAGAGCCAAUCUGGAAUCAGGAUUUUCAUCUUCUUGUUGCAAAUCCUAGAAAGCAGAAAUUGUAUAUCCAAGUAAAGGACUCUUUUGGUUUCGCAGAUAUUACCAUUGGCACAGGAGAGGUUGAGCUCGGUUUGCUUCAAGAUACAGUACCGACGGACAAAAUUGUAACUUUGCAAGGUGGGUGGAGUUUGUUUGGGAAGCAAUUGUCUGGAGAAUUGUUGCUCCGCCUCACGUAUAAAGCUUAUGUUGAAGAUGAAGAAGAUGGGACAGAAAAGGAGCUUGUAGAUAGUGAUGCAUCUGAUGAUGAAAGCACAGAAUAUGAACAGGCAGAUGAAUCGUAUGUACAGAGUUUUCGUGAUUACCCCAUUGGAGGAGAAAGGGAGUCCUUUAUGGACGUCCUAGCAGCUUUGCUUGUCAGUGAGGAAUUUCUGGGUAUAGUGUCAUCUGAGACAGGAAGUUCCAAAGUUUCUGAGCAAUCUGCGUAUCCAGAAUCUUCAGUAUCAAAAACAUUUGGUCGUGAUGCAGAAAUAUCCGUUUUUGAUGCUGAUAGUGCUUCAGGUGGUUCCAGAGAUUCGCCUCUAGUUUGGCUUGCUAUCAUAACGAGUAUAGCUGUGCUGAUUGCCAUUAACGUGGGCAGUUCAGGCUUCUUCAACCCUUGAUAUAAAUGAGUACAUGUCAAAGAUUUAGUUCUCAUGUCCAAUCAGUGCUGGCUGACAGACACACCAGCAAGGUUCAUCAGUACAGUGUGACAUGAUAGGGUGGUGGCACACGUGCCACUGGGAGGAAAAGAUGAACAAAUAUACUUCUUUGUGUAUAUAGAUAUCACAAAUGCAUACCUUGGUCAAUCUUCAGAUUGUCCAUGUCUGGCAUCAUUGUUGGUCUCGUGAAAAGAUGAACAAAUAUACAUUUUUAUGUGCAUGGACAUCGCAAAUGCAGACCUUGUUCAAUCUUCAGACUCUCCAUAUGUGGCAUCAUUGUUGGUCUCUUGGUGCUCACCAUAGUUUCUCACUGGCUUUUGACAGUGUGGUUCACUGACUUCUGGUGUGAACCUUCAGGAUCAUCAAACUAAUAGAUGGUCUGAUCUGCUUACUGGCAAUUUCUUCUUAUUGAAUUUUGGUCAUUUUGAUAAGCUUUUGGCUCUAACUUUCUUUUCAUUAUUCAGCUGCUUUUAGUCACAGGUGCAGUAUGAUCACAUUUGGGAAGGACUAGUGUUGUUUUAAUUUUUGUAAAUUUUACUGCUUAAGAUUAGACUAUCUUAUCCAAAUUGUUUACUGUAAUCUCUUAAAGCAUUAUAUGUAUGACGUUAUUUACAACUGAGUUAGUGUAGAGAAAUCUUCAUGCCAGUGAUUUGUAAAAUUAUGAUUUGUUAGCAGCUCGAGGUUAUUAGCUCGUGUAGAUAUAGAAGCCAUUUGAUGUAUUCUACUUCUUCUUGCAUGCUUUUGCAUCUUAUUUUAAAACUCUUGAAUUUAUGUCUUUUCCUUUACAAUAAUCAGACUCCCAAUUGACAGUUGAUUGACGGAUGAUUAUUAUCUGAUUCUUCUGCCAUAAUGUAUUUGCUCGAGUAUUAUUUGCAAAUCCACUUCAGUUAAUUUUUAUGAAAGCUUUUACAGUCCUUGCAUCAUAAUUAGAAUGACUCAAGAGUGU